GGCCCCAAAGGGCUCAAGGGUUAUCAAGGAAAAUCUGGUUACGAUAGUUAUCCAGGAGCGCCUGGAUUAGAUGGGCUUCCUGGGCAAGAUGGAAAGGUCGGAAGACCAGGAAACCUUGGCCUUAACGGAAUGGAUAAUUUUAUAACCGGUGACCCAGGAUUAACCGGAUUCGACGGAAAGCCCGGUAAACGGGGGAAAAAGGGAAAAUCAGGUAAAGAUGGUUCACCUGGAACCAAUGGAAAAGAUGGUUUAAAAGGUCCUCCUG